AGGGGUUUGAGUCAGUAACACAGCCCAUACAGAGGAGAGCAAACCCGCUGAUGCUUAAUGCCCCUGCCAUGGCAGUGUCUACAGGGAACAAGGGGGGCCACUAGCCACAGUAGUUCUACCCGUUGAGGGUCAUCCCACUACUUUCCUGGUUGACACAGGUGCAGCCCGCAGUGUUCUUAGAGAACAAGACCUGCCUGACUCAUCGUUCCUGUCUGAC